CGUCCCGGCGCCGUGAGCCCCGGGCUGCCCCGGGGGUCCCGGGGGGGUUGGGGUGACCCCGUCUCUCCCCAGGCGCCGUCGCGGGACCCCCGGAACCCCCCGGCCCCUCCCCCAGCUUUGCUUUGCAGCCGCCGGCGGAGCCGCCCGAGGGAACGGCCGGGCACGGCACCGGCACCGGGACACGGCACGGGAACACGGCAGGGACACGGCACAGACACGGCAGGGACACGGCACAGACACGGCAGGGACACGGCACAAACACGGCACAAACACGGCAGGGACAUGGCACAAACACAGACACAAACAGGGCAGGAACACGGCAAAAACAUGGCAGGGACACGGCACAAACAUGGACAAAACCAGAGCAGGAACACGGCAGGGACACGGCACAAACACGGCAGGGACAUGGCAAAUACACAGCAGGGACACGGCAAAAACACGGACACAAACAGGGCAGGAACACGGCAGGAACACGGCAAAAACAUGGCAGGGACACGGCAAAAACACAGCAGGGACACGGCACAAACACGGCAGGGACAUGGCAAAAACACGGACACAAACAGGGCAGGAACACGGCAGGAACACGGCAAAAACAUGGCAGGGACACGGCAGGGACAUGGCACAAACAUGGACAAAACAGGGCAGGAACACACAAAAACACACCAAAACCAUGGCAAAACCACAGCAGGAACAUGGCAAAAACACCUAAACCACAGCAAAACCACAGCAAGGACAUAGCACAAACAUGGACAAAAACAGGGCAGGAACACGGCAAAAACAUGGACAAAAAUACGGCAAAAACACAGCAGGACCAGGGCAAAAACACACCAAAACCGCAGCAAAAACAUGGCAGGAACAUGGCAAGAACAUGGAUAAAAACAUGCAAAAAACCACGGCAGGAACACACCAAAAAUACACAAAAUACAUGGCGAAAACAGGGCAGGAACACGGCAAAAACAUGGACAAAAACACUGCAGGAACAUGGCAAAACCACACCAAAAACAGGGGAAAAACACGGCGGGAACAUGGCAGGAACACGGCAAAAACAUGGACAAAAACAUGCAAAAACAAGGCAAAACCAGGGCAGGAACGGGGUAGGAACACAGGAAAAACACGGACAAAACCAUGCAAAGACACACCAAAAACAUGGCAGAAACAUGUUAAAAACCAUGGCAAAAACAGGGCAGGAACACAGCAGGGACACGGCAAAAUCAUGCAAAAAACAUGGCAGAAACAUGCAAAAAACACGGCAGGAAUGCACAAAAACCACGGCAAGAACACGGCAAAACCAUGCCUAAAACACACAAAAAACACACCAAAACCAUGUCCAAAAACACACAAGUAACACACCAAAAUCAUGCCUAAAACACACAAAAAACACACCAAAACCAUGCCUAAAACACCUGGACAGGGAACACACCUGGACAUGGAACACACCUGGACAUGGAAACACCUGGACAGGGAACACACCUGGACAGGGAACACACCUGGACAGGGAACACCUGGUGGAGGUGAAACACACCUGGACACGCUGAGGGUGAGCCAAGGACACGACCCACACCUGGAGCUCACGUGUGCACGUCGAACACACAACGAACACGUGAGAGAGCUCUGAGCACACCUGAGACACCGGGGCCACGGACCCACACGCUAAUGACACAUAAACACACGCUUAUGACAGACUAAACCCACGCUAAUGACACAUAAACACACGCUAAUGACAGAGUAAACACACGCUAAUGACACAUGAACACACGCUAAUGACACAUUAAACACAUGCUAAUGACAGAGUAAACACACGCUAAUGACACAUUAAACACACGCUAAUGACAGAGUAAACAUGCGCUAAUGACAGAGUAAACACAUGCUAAUGACACAUAAACACAUGCUAAAGACACAUUAAACACACGCUAAUGACAGAUCAAACACACGCUAAUUACUGACUAAACACACGCUAAUUACUGACUAAACACACGCUAAUUACAGAUUAAACACACGCUAAUGACAGAGUAAACACACGCUAAUUACUGAUUGAUUAAACACACGCUAAUGACAGACUAAACAUGCGCUAAUGACACAUAAACACAUGCUAAAGACACAUUAAACACACGCUAAUGACAGAGUAAACACAGGCUAAUGACAGAUUAAACACACGCUAAUUACACAUUAAACACACGCUAAUUACUGAUUGAUUAGACACAUGCUAAUUACACAUUGAGCACACAUCAAACACACUCAGCGCACACUCAGGGCACACUCAGGGCACACUCAGCUCACACUCAGCGCACACUCAGGGCA
rnacentral:lncRNA from 1 species